GGGGAACUGAAACAUCUAAGUACCCCGAGGAAAAGAAAUCAACCGAGAUUCCCCCAGUAGCGGCGAGCGAACGGGGAGCAGCCCAGAGUCUGAAUCAGCUUGUGUGUUAGUGGAACGGUCUGGAAAGUCCGACGGUACAGGGUGAUAGUCCCGUACACCAAAAUGCACAGGCUGUGAACUCGAAGAGUAGGGCGGGACACGUGGUAUCCUGUCUGAAUAUGGGGGGACCAUCCUCCAAGGCUAAAUACUCCUGACUGACCGAUAGUGAACCAGUACCGUGAGGGAAAGGCGAAAAGAACCCGGCGAGGGGAGUGAAAA
rnacentral:rRNA from 1 species